rnacentral:rRNA from 1 species
GACGAACGCUGGCGGCGUGCUUAACACAUGCCAGUCGAACGGAAAGGCCCUGCUUGCGGUGUACUCGAGUGGCGAACGGGUGUGUAACACGUGUGUGAUCUGCCCUGCACUUCGGUAUAAGCCUGGGAAACUUGGUCUAAUACCGGAUAGGCUCCAUUUUUAGUGUGAUGGUUGGAAAGUUUUUUGGGUGUGGGAUGAGCUCGCGGCCUCUCUGCUUGUUGGUGGGGUAAUGGCCUACCACGGCGGCGACGGGUAGCCGGCCGGGGAGGGUGGACGGCCACAUUGGGACGGGGAACGGGCCAAGCCUCCUAGGGGGGGAGGAGGGGGGGAAAAUUGAAAAAGGGGCGAAAGCCGAAUGAGGAGCGGCCGCGGGGGGGAGGACGGCCUUGGGGUGGAAAACGCUUUUAGCUAGGGACGAACCUUUUUGUGACGGUACCUAGAGAAGAAGCACCGGCUAACUACGUG